rnacentral:misc_RNA from 1 species
GCAGGUUGGCGAUGCUGAAGGAUCAACGCUAGUGACGUGCGUCCGGUUAUUUAAACUAACAUGGCGCCAGACGAUCAUAUGUUCCGGCCGCUUUCAAUUUUAGUAUAUUUUUAGAAAUAUCAUAUAUAAAUAGUAUAACGCGCACAAAGAGUGGUUUUAAUGUUGUCGUUAUUUUACGUUGAAUUCAAACAUGAGUAAAGGCUGCUGGAAGUUUGACGGUAAUGAUCAAGCGCUUUACAUCGAUAUCGAGGAGGAUUCCGAUGAUGUGAGGCAAAGAACAGUAUACAGCUGUUGGAACGAUCUUCCAGACAUUUUGCUGGAAGAAAUAUUUUCCUAUUUAACAAUACGCGAGCGUUACUACGCCUCGCUUGUUUGCAAGUCAUGGUACCACGCAUUCAAAUUGCAAAGAGUAUGGUCGUUAUUCGUGCUGGAAGACAGAACACUGACACGUGGAAAAUUCAACUACUACAGUGGAUGGGAGUAUGUUCUGGAUCACAUGCGCACCUCGAUGUGCCUCAACAAAGUUGGAAAAAAUUUCCGGACCCUCAUCUUUGAGCCGAUGCUGAAUUUCUACAAUUUGUUUGAAUUCAUGAAUAUGAUAUCUUGGUACACCGAGAAGCAAGGGUCUGACAACACCUCUGUCGCUGGUGUUGGUACAUUGAUCAGACGAUUAAAGUUUACAUUUCCAUGCAACAUGGCCAACAGAGAUGAUCAUGAAAGAAUCAGGGUCUUUGGAACUGGAGGAAAAUUACUUGAAGCUCUGAAACGAUUGAUGGGAAAUUUGGCGAAUCUGAGGUGCUUGGAGCUGAUUGACUUGAUGCUAGACAAUAGAGAAGCCAUACAUUUAUUGGACGAAGUUUGCACAGGCUGCACGGAAACGUUAUCCAAACUUGUAUUGAUAAACGCAACGAGAAACAGAUGUCCCUUGCUCCAUGUUGGUGUGUUUCUGAAUUUGAAUAUUCUUGUCAUUAGUCCUCAAAAUCUUCACGAAGAUGUAAUCGAACUACUCGGCUACACAAAACUCCGACACUUGCAUAUUCUGCAAAAUCGAUACAGUCCUGUGGAUUCAACAGUUCAGUUGCCAAAGAUUGAUGCAUGGCGCAAGAUGAAAGCAAACAAUCCUCAUCUGCUGGUUCACUUCGAAUUAGAGAGCUCGAAACCCACCGACUUUGCUCUGCCUGUUGAUGUAGCACUCCAAGAUGGAGCCAUCCCAUGCUAUAGCAUUGUUAUGGAUAAUCCAAACACUAAGCAUUCAGCAUUUACGUUGACAACUCACGGAGCAUACUUUGAGUCUACUUUAAGAGUCUACGCAUUUAAAGGAUUGUCCAGAUAUUAUCAGCAUAAAAAUUUUUCUAAAAGACUGGAUGAAGCGCUAGUUCGGUUUUGCAAGUCUUGCCCGAACCUCCACACACUGGUAGCAUCUUGUGUUUAGAUUCUUACAACGCUGCCUAAGCGUUUGUUGCAGUCUACUUUCACACUGCACUUAUGCUAACUGCGUGUGCUUAACGUUGUUGCAUGUUAUGGUUCGUGAUAAAAUAUCGACGGCAACAAUUCUCCAGAUUGUGAAAACAGCAAAAAACCUUCGCUGUUUAUUUGUUAGACGAAAUGUGAUACUGAAAAGAUUUGAUGGAGCCUGGUCAAAGAUGAAUAAUUGGAC